rnacentral:piRNA from 1 species
UGCAUGGCAGGGUGCAUUCCUAAAACUGA